rnacentral:lncRNA from 1 species
GAAAAAGUCAAACACACCUCAUCUGACUAUACUGCAAGUCAGCACAUCGAUUUACCUAGCACUCAGCCAACUGGAGAGGCAAUUUCAGAGGGAACAGGACUCAGGUUUGAGCCUCAUGAAAAUGAAGAGCAAGCUGCAAAUCAUUUUUAUCUGCAAGGGGUUAUCUGGCUGUAACCCUUACAUAAGCAAGGUAUGGGGAUUUGGUGUGAACACGUGGUUUUCCUGAGAUGUGCAUUUAUUUUCGGGGGUGAAGAGUGUUCAGGUAAAUCCAUAACAUUUUCGUGUGCAAAGAGAAGGUCUCCACCUUUCUGCUCCAUGAACCAGUCUCCAUGAGCACCCGAGGCGACGCUCGCGGCGCGGCCCGAGCGCUGGGCCCGGGCUCGAGGUUUGGACCGGGGUUCUACCCGGCAGCAAAGCCAGAGGCCGGACACACCACGGCCUCCUGGAUCUGCGCUGCCUGCGCAAUAAGCCUGGGGAGGUGCCAGCUCCGGCAGGCAUUGGGCACCCGGGAGUCCCGCCGCUGUGGCCGCGCAGGGCACCGGAUCCCUCCAGGAUCCCAGGCUCCCGACGUCCAGCAGAAGUGCUCUGGAGUGAGGCUUCAUUGGUCCCAGGUUCCUCCAAGGCAGAGCCGAUCUCCACUGCCCUUUAUCUCCUACCGCUAAGAGC